UACAGAGGGUGCAAGCGUUAAUCGGAAUUACUGGGCGUAAAGCGCGCGUAGGCGGCUGCCUAAGUCGGAUGUGAAAGCCCCGGGCUUAACCUGGGAACUGCAUUCGAUACUGGGCGGCUAGAGUAUGAGAGAGGGAGGUAGAAUUCCACGUGUAGCGGUGAAAUGCGUAGAUAUGUGGAGGAAUACCGGUGGCGAAGGCGGCCUCCUGGUUCAAUACUGACGCUGAGGUGCGAAAGCGUGGGGAGCAAACAGG
rnacentral:rRNA from 1 species